GAUCAGAAAGCAGUACUCUGAUAAGAAAUCCCCUGAUCUUAGUUCUGUUUACUGUAAAACUUCUGAUUUUUAAAAUCUACUUUUUAUUUAAUUACUUCAUACUGUUAAGUACAGUCACUGUUUUAAAGAAAAGCAAAAGUGGUUGUCUUCAACCAGUGGUACCAGUAAUGCAUCAGAGAAGACGACAGCACAGCAUAUCAGCCUUCUCUGCUGGUUUCCGGAGGAAAACUUCUAGCAGCAACUCUGCUGAUCUGCAGCAAUCAUUCAGGUGUUGCAAUUUAAUAGGCACGUUGAUUUGGGGAAAGCAAAACACAACGGCUGUUCAGAGGAUGAAGGUGAGGGAUUCAUGUCUUGUACAAAAAUCUGGGUCUUCUGCUGGAGAAAGUAAUCUUUUUAAAGCAUUUUGUUAUUUGCCAUUUAUCUGGAAAAUAAAACAAUUCUAUAUGUUCCCAAGAACUCACUUUCUGCCUCACAUUGGAACAUACAUUAGAGGAAGUGGUUUACUUACUGUUUUCUGCUUACUUGUAGAAAGAACUGAAGAGCUAGUACUUCUAUAAGCCACCCAUAGUCUGCUUCCUGCUGUGUACAUCCAAGAAGAUGCACCUACUUCCUCAGCCAGCUGUGGUUUAAAAGGGAGUGGCUACAGCAAGAUGAGGAGCUAUGUAGGUUCUUUGGAAAGUAUGCUCAUUCCUAUCUUCUUCAACCCAAUCAAUGCAGUUUUUUCCUUUAACAAAUAUUAUGCUUAAUGAGGGCAGUUAAAAUUAAAAUUUGCGUUUGUUUGUUUUCAAAUAAUUAAACGCCUGAAAUAAAUGUGCUGCAUCUGUUGACUUGCUGCUUAUUCCUGUGGCCCAUGGUGCAGUGCUGCAUCUCUGGUCAGUUGGUAGUCUGAGAUGAAGCACUGUAGCUCGGGACAGAGGACAGACAAAUCUAUUGAACAUCUAUCAUGAUCUACGGGUCUGUGUGUUUCUCUAAAGAAAAAAGAAGUGGAUUUGCAACAACGGAGAUAUACGGACAGACAACCAUUCUCAAAUUUUUUCUGUUUUUACUGCUCCUUUUCUUUGCACAGGAACUGCAGCUGCAGACAGAAAAAUCUUUAAUUAAAAACAUUUUUUUCAGAAGUAAAAUUUUGAACAAUCACCCUUCAUCUUGUUUUUCUUUACCCUUUUCUCUGGGGUCCAGUUUUCCCAGGAAUCCCUUCACUUAUCAGAAAGGGGGAUUCCUGGAAAUACUGAUCUCGGGGGGGAGGUUUCUCACGAUGUAUAGUUUUAAGAAUUAAUACCAUCAUUUCUAUCUGCUGUAAAGCGGAUCAAUUAAGAAAAAUGUUGGCUACUCAGAGAAAUUUAAACCUGAUAUAUGUUCCUCAAGUUUCACGUGCAUGUAAUUGGUAAUUGUACUUUUAAUGUAUCUGUUUUUGUGUCAAAUAAAGAAACUAAACAACACAAAUA